UACGUAGGUGGCAAGCGUUGUCCGGAUUUACUGGGCGUAAAGAGCGCGCAGGCGGUCGUUCAAGUCGCGUGUGAAAGCCCCCGGCUCAACUGGGGAGGGUCACGCGAUACUGAUCGACUCGAAGGCAGGAGAGGGUAGUGGAAUUCCCGGUGUAGUGGUGAAAUGCGUAGAUAUCGAGAGGAACACCUGCGGCGAAGGCGGGUUGCUGGGCUGACACGUGACGCUGAUGCGCGAAAGCCAGGGGAGCGAACGGG
rnacentral:rRNA from 1 species